rnacentral:piRNA from 1 species
GAAAAGUGGUGAAAUUGAACUGUGCUGGGU